CGUAGGGGGCUAGCGUUGUCCGGAAUCAUUGGGCGUAAAGCGCGUGUAGGCGGCCCGGUAAGCCCGCUGUGAAAGUCGGGGGCUCAACCCUCGGAAGCCGGUGGAUACUGUCGGGCUCGAGUACGGAAGAGGCGAGUGGAAUUCCUGGUGUAGCGGUGAAAUGCGCAGAUAUCAGGAGGAACACCAAUUGCGAAGGCAGCUCGCUGGGACGUAACUGACGCUGAGACGCGAAAGCGUGGGGAGCAAACAGGAUUAGAUACCCUGGUAGUCCACGCUGUAAACGAUGGGCACUAGGUGUGGGGGGUGUCGACUCCCUCCGUGCCGAAGCUAACGCAUUAAGUGCCCCGCCUGGGGAGUACGGCCGCAAGGCUA
rnacentral:rRNA from 1 species